rnacentral:SRP_RNA from 1 species
CCGUGCUAGACGGGGAGAUAGCGGUGCCCUGUAACCUGCAAGCCGCUACAGCAGGGUUGAUCACCUCUUUGAGGGGUUUUCGGAGUGGUGCUGCCCUCGGCAAGUGUCGAUGAAGGAUGAGUCCUGCGCAAUAAGGACUUCCGAACCCUGCCAGGUCCGGAAGGAAGCAGCAGUAAGGGAGACCCCUUAUGUGCCGCAGGGGAGCUUGUCCGGAGAAAACGACCGAGGUAACGACUGUUGCGGAAUCUCGAUGGAGGCGCACGG